AUCUAGCGAAGCUCCGGCUCCACUCCCACAGGCAACUCAACUGGGGUAUAAGCCAGACGUCUUCUCCUUC
rnacentral:misc_RNA from 1 species